rnacentral:misc_RNA from 1 species
UAAUAUCUACUCAGAUCUUUGAUUAUUUUAUAUAGUCUUGGAUUUGGAUUUAAUCAGAGAAGUAACCUAUAUGAGUAGAUUACUCUUUGGAAAAAUAAAGGCAGUUAUAGUGAAACCUGUAUUAAACGUGAUAUUAAAAAGUUUCGUUUUUAAGGACUACAUCUUUGACUUGCCUUUAACCCACUUAAUUCUUUUU